UAACUUGGAUUUUGAGAAAACUCCACAUUGCAUCAACUUGUCAAUUGCGCAUUUUAGCAACCAAAUUGUAUAAACUGGUGUUAAGCUCUUCUGAAGUAAGUGGAAUGCAAAAUCAUGAAACGUUAUUAAGCUCAUUUUUUCGCCUGAAAAUUAUGAAUUUAAGGAGACAGAAAGACAGGGCACUAGAAAAUAGAGGAAAGAGAAUGGAAGAGAUUUGAAUAAAGAACGAGAGUUUACUUUCUUAAGUUCGUUGUUCGUGAUUAUAUUUAUCAAUUGUGUCUCCCUAACAUUAUACUAUUAUUCCUCCUGUGCAAUUUAGAAGUUAAAACCCAUCGGUCCUUUAACUCCCCAGACAAACAGCACCAAUGGAAGAAGCAAAGCCAGCCGAGUCCACAGCUACCCAAGUCCUCCCAACCCCUCUGAGCUCCGCCGAAGUUCUCCCUGUAUAGCCUCCUCCGUCUUCUCUUCCUCCCAAGACCAAGAAGAGACCCCUUGAAAAUGAUGCUCUUUUCUCCAACUCAUCCACCCUCUACAGGGUUCGCAGCGUCCUCAAAGAGGUCCGUCCUCAUUUCGAGGUUCUCCAGACCCCUGACUUUGGAACAUGCAAGCCAUCCGAAGAAAUUCAAGAAUAUGUGGAGCUUCUGAUGGAACUUUGCAAACAGAUGAUGGCAGAAACAGUUUCGGCAACAAGAAGUAAGAGUGCAGCAGCUGAAAAGCCCCAAGAUACAAGGGCUUUUGGGAAGCCAUCAGAAAAUAAGUUUCCAUCAGGUGUAGCCAGUGAGAAGCAGCGGGGUGAAGAUGGUCAGACUCAAGGGACAUAUAUUGUUGGUGGGUCUGCUUUUUUCUGGAAUUUCAUUAUAUUUGUAGGCGAAGAACCAGUCUACUAUGGAAUAACAAAGGAGUCAUUUUGAG